rnacentral:tRNA from 1 species
AAGAUUUUAAGUUAAGUAAACUAAUGGUUUUCAAAAUCAUAAAUAAAUUUUUAAUUUAAAUCUUG